rnacentral:rRNA from 1 species
AGAGUAUAAUCGCAAGAUUGAAAUUCAAAGGAAUUGACGGGAGUCUACACAAGCGGUGGAGCAUGUGGUUUAAUUCGAUAAUACGCGCAGAACCUUACCAAUUCUUGUAAAUAUUUUUAAAAAAUAUUUUUAAAAAAUACAGGCGUUGCAUGGCUGUCGUCAGCUCGUGUUGUGAGAUGUUUGGUUUAUUCCCUUAACGAGCGAAACCCUUAUUUUUAGUUGCUAAUUUUUAAAUAGAAAGUAUCUAUAUAAAAAUGCACUUUAAAAAAAGUUAAUGACAUAUUAAUAGAAAUGGGGAUUACGUCAAGUCUUCAUGGCCCUUAUGAAUUGGGCUACACACGUGCUACAAUGAUAAAUACAAUGAGAGGCAAUAAUAAUAAAAAAUUGGAGCAAAUCUUUAAAAUUUAUCUUAGUUCGGAUUAUGGGCUGCAACUCGCCCAUAUAAAGUUGGAAUCGCUAGUAAUCGCAAAACAG